GACGAACGCUGGCGGCGUGCUUAACACAUGCAAGUCGAACGGAAAGGCCCUGCUUUUGUGGGGUGCUCGAGUGGCGAACGUGUGAGUAACACGUGAGUAACCUGCCCUUGACUUUGGGAUAACUUCAGGAAACUGGGGCUAAUACCGGAUAGGAGCUCCUGCUGCAUGGUGGGGGUUGGAAAGUUUCGGCGGUUGGGGAUGGACUCGCGGCUUAUCAGCUUGUUGGUGGGGUAGUGGCUUACCAAGGCUUUGACGGGUAGCCGGCCUGAGAGGGUGACCGGCCACAGUGGGACUGAGAUACGGCCCAGACUCCUACGGGAGGCAGCAGUGGGGAAUAUUGCACAAUGGGCGGAAGCCUGAUGCAGCAACGCCGCGUGCGGGAUGACGGCCUUCGGGUUGUAGACCGCUUUCGCCUGUGACGAAGCGUGAGUGACGGUAAUGGGUAAAGAAGCACCGGCUAACUACGUG
rnacentral:rRNA from 1 species